AAACCAUGGUGAGGGCAUAACCUUAUCAUAGUGUUGUAUCUUUUCCAUGCAUCAUACAGACUCUCACCAUCAUACUGUGCAAACUUGGUUAUUUUGUCUCUGUAUGC